rnacentral:rRNA from 1 species
GACGAACGCUGGCGGCGUGCUUAACACAUGCAAGUCGAACGAUGAUGCCAGCUUGCUGGUGGAUUAGUGGCGAACGGGUGAGUAACACGUGAGCAACCUGCCCCUGACUUCGGGAUAACCGCGGGAAACCGUGGCUAAUACCGGAUAUGACGCGCUAUCGCAUGGUGGUGUGUGGAAAGAUUUAUCGGUUGGGGAUGGGCUCGCGGCCUAUCAGCUUGUUGGUGGGGUGAUGGCCUACCAAGGCGACGACGGGUAGCCGGCCUGAGAGGGUGACCGGCCACGCUGGGACUGAGACACGGACCAGACUGCUACGGGAGGCAGCAGUGGGGAAUAUUGCACAAUGGGCGCAAGCCUGAUGCAGCGGCGCGGCGUGGGGGAUGACGGCCUUCGGGUUGUAGACCUCUUUCAGUAGGGAAGAAGGCCUUCGGGUUGACGGUACCUGCAGAAGAAGCGCCGGCUAACUACGUG